rnacentral:rRNA from 1 species
AUGGUAUAAUAAAAUCGGAGGCCACGACUGUUUACUAAAAACACAAUUCAGAGCAAUGAUUAAGAUAAUAGUAUUCUGAAUGAAAUUUGCUCAAUGCCAUUAAUAUCCAGAGAGGUAAUUUUAAAGUUACUAAUUGAAAGUCUGGUUAAUAGCGGUCUUAACUAUGAGGAUCCUAAGGUAGCAAAAUAAAUUGGCCAUUAAAUGUGGUCCAGUAUCAAUAAUGUAACGAUGGUCUCACUGUCUCUACAACUUGCUCAGUGAAAUUGAAUUGCGAGUGCAGAUGCUCGCUAUC